rnacentral:tRNA from 1 species
AUCUUCCUAGUAAAAAGUUAAUAUACGUGACUUCCAAUCACUCGAUCUUGGUUAAAGCCCAAGGGAAGAUA